AAUUAGAAUUCUCUGGCAUAAGCCUUGGUCAUAUUUUCCUGUUGUUUGUUUACAGAUACCAUUGAAAAUGGAAUAUAUUAUUUGGCCUACUUUUCUGCCAGCCAGAAUACAAUGCAGAGUCAUGUAAUUUUUAACAAUUAUGUUGUUGCUACAAACCCAUUGAAAUUGGGCUACAUUGAAAUCUGGGGUGUGGGCAGUGUCUCUGUUUCCAGUGUGAGCAUCACUUUGAGGAACGGGAAUGAAAUACCCCCCUUCACCUACAACUCUACAACACAGGUGUUAAAAAUUGAUGUGACCCGCAAAAGCAUCAGCCUACAUGAUUUCCUUUCAUUGACAUGGAAAAGCUCUCCAUAAAUUUUUAGAGCAAGAUCCUAACUUUGAACAACUCUGAAGAUACUUAUACUUCAUGCCCAUAAAAUUAUUGUGCAUUGUUAUUGAUUCUUGCCCAGUAUGGAUAAGAUAUUUUAUUGAUUUGAUCAUGUUUUAUCUGUGAAUCCUAAACAUUAAAUUUUAGCUCUGUGGGAUAGACAGUAGAGAGGUGUGGAAAAUCUAUGGAUUGUCUUAACGUCUCUGUGUGAUUAGUAUGGUACAGAUGAUUCAUUAUAUGAGGAUGAACUGGUACCAUGCAGUGUGUGUAUGUGUGUGUGUCUGUGUAUGUAAUUAUGGAAUGGGCCCUACUUUCUUGCUACGGACGUAGAAAAAACUUGUCAUGACAUUUCCUGGUCUUGAAGCUAAGCAGUACCUCAAGAAAGCAUUCAUAAAGAGCAUCUGCUAGUUGCUUAUAGGGAGAGGGGAAAAAUAUGCUAAGAGCAUGAUGUAAGAGCGGAAACCACAUCCACUCGGGAAGACCACAAAGACAAAAGCAUUUAUUUACCUUACACUUUUGACAUCUUCUGUUAACAAUAGGAAAAUAAAAUAUAGGUGCAAGAUAAGCAGGGAAGAUUUGAGGCCACAAAAGAUGAUGACAAAAGUGAUCACAAAUUGUCAGGAAUAGUGGCCUCAUGGGGAAGGGAAAAGAAGAGUCAACUCAUUUGAAAGAGAGCAGUGAAGGAGUUUGGGUAUGAAAGGUAAUUUAUUUUCACACUAGUGUGCUUUGAAAUGUAUAAAUCAUGUGUGUCCACCUUGCCUAAUAUGUGUAACCACAAUUCACACAAACACAUGCAAUCUAUGUGUCACAGAAAAAUAAAAGAAGUGAAUUUGCAAAAGA